AAAAUAGGGUUUUUUUAGUGAUUUUUGGCCCAUCUUUAAUUCCAGGUGGUGUUUGCAACCCCUGGGAUGCUCCAUGCAGGACAGUCCCUCCAAAUCUUCAGGAAAUGGGCAGGGAAUGAGAAGAACAUGGUGAUCAUGCCUGGCUACUGUGUCCAGGGAACUGUGGGCCACAAGAUCCUCAGUGGGCAGAGGAAGCUGGAGAUGGAAGGGAGACAAAUUCUGGAGGUGAAGCUGCAGGUGGAGUACAUGACCUUCAGU